GGGCCCUUAGCUCAGCCGGUCAGAGCAGUGGACUCAUAAUCCAUUGGUCGUAGGUUCGAAUCCUACAGGGCCCA
rnacentral:tRNA from 1 species